rnacentral:rRNA from 1 species
AGCGAACGCUGGCGGCAGGCCUAACACAUGCAAGUCGAACGAACCUUUCGGGGUUAGUGGCGGACGGGUGAGUAACACGUGGGAACGUGCCUUUAGGUUCGGAAUAACUCAGGGAAACUUGUGCUAAUACCGAAUGGGCCCUUCGGGGGAAAGAUUAAUCGCCUUUAGAGCGGCCCGCGUCUGAUUAGCUAGUUGGUUGAGGUAAUGGCUCACCAAGGCGACGAUCAGUAGCUGGUCUGAGAGGAUGAUCAGCCACAUUGGGACUGAGACACGGCCCAAACUCCUACGGGAGGCAGCAGUGGGGAAUCUUGCGCAAUGGGCGAAAGCCUGACGCAGCCAUGCCGCGUGAAUGAUGAAGGUCUUAGGAUUGUAAAAUUCUUUCACCGGGGACGAUAAUGACGGUACCCGGAGAAGAAGCCCCGGCUAACUUCGUG